rnacentral:rRNA from 1 species
AUGAAUCUUGCUGGUUCGUACACUUUCUUUCCUCUGAAAGCAAACAUCUCAAUUAUACAAAAUGGCAAAAGACUACUUACAUCACACAACAUUGAGCAAGUCUUUGGGAGGAGAAUGCAUAGACAAGACACUAGUGCAUAUCUAAUUCUCGUUAGAAAUAUUUUGUUAUUCACCAGAACAUACUUCAAAGAUAGAAAUUACGUAAAUUACCUGCAUAAGGACUCAAGUGUUGGCUCCUUAACACGGAUGUCUGCAUUGGAUAAGAGAACUACUAAGUUAUCUGAUAACAUGAACCCGUAA